rnacentral:lncRNA from 1 species
GCCUCGCCCUUAGGUGUGCUUUUGUCCUGCACCGCGACACGUGUAGGUUAGAGUCGCAGAUAAAGAAUUGAUACUGUAGAUGCGUUUCCCACGCGUCCUUUCUCACCCACACGAUGCCAGAGCGAGAUCACGCUACCGAACGUUUUAUGGUCUCUUCCGAGUUCGUAGUCGAGCUGCACUACCACGGGCUUCGGUGCCACUCUUACGUGGGCCAGACGUGCAACACAUAAGGCGAGAAACCUAACCGACUCCAUCCUGGGGACCGUGGCUCCCUUCGUGGAAGCAGGUGGUGCGGCGCGGGGCGGGGCGGAGCGGCAGGCGCGGUCCAGUUCUGAAGUCACAAAACUCAAAAGCUGCUCAUUCCUGUCCUCUCCAGGCAAAGGCAGCUCAAGCAUCUCAUCCGACGUGAGUUCAAGUACAGAUCACACGCCGACCCAAGCCCAGAAGAAUGUGGCUACCAGUGAAGGACUUACAGGACAUAAGGCGGAUUUCCGCGCAUAGACAGUUCACUCACACUGGCGGGUUGGAUUACGGCAAAGAAUUCUUCGGGCCACGUGCAUGUGGUUGAGGUGGCCUAAAGGAAUGCAGGCACCCAAGCUGCAGGGCUCUCCCCCACCCCCCGUUCCGGGACUCUGCCAAUUCCCUGUGAUCCAGAGAAGCACUGCAUUCGGUGUCCCCAAAUCCCUACGUAUCUUACUUCUUCAAAACGUCCCAUCAUUUUGAGGUCAAUCCACGGAUCCAUCUCGAUGAUCUCAGUGUCAGAGACCAAGUCCUUCAAUGAGCACUUGGAGCUCAGGUACGGACGCAAAAGUGUGAGCUCACAAGGGCAAGGGUUGCUUCCUCUCCUGUCACAUUCCUGUCACCUUCACAGUGGUGGGGCCAAGGGUGCUAAAGGGAUAAGUUAAGGAACGGGAGGGUGACCCCUGCUGGCCCCCUUGUGGAUGGGAAUCCUGCCUCUUUUGUGCAGCUCUAUAUUCGCAGCCCCUGCCACCACAUCUGCCUCCCAUUUGUUGAGCAAAUGAACUUAAGAAUUUGAUCCCUAGGGCAGCCCGGGUGGCACAGUGUUUUAACACCACCUUCAGCCCAGGGCGUUAUCCUGGAGACCUGGGAUCGAGUCCCGCGUCGGGCUCCCUGCAUGGAGCCUGCUUCUCCCUCUGACUGUGCCUCUGCCUCUCUCUCUGUAUCUGUCAUGAAUAAAUAAAUAAAAUCUUAAAAAAAAAAAAAAAAG